UGCACUUGUUGCACAGGGUCUCAAGGUUGGUCUUGUGGAAGUUCUUCUUGGCCUUCUUGAUUGGCGAGCUGGGGGAAGAAAUGGGCUUUGUUCACAGAUGAGCUGGAAUGAGUCAGAAGCAGCAAUUGGCCGGGUUCUUGCAAAUGAGGUUUUGCAUGCAUUUGCAACAGAAGGGGCCUAUUGUACCAAAGUACGUGUCAUACUGAGUGCCUCUGAUUGACUCAUGUUUAUCAAACUUUUCAUGGUGGUGAGGAAGCUGCAGUUUCCUCUUCUCUACCUUUGGCGAAACGAAGUGUUUUGGGCGGCCUCUUACCUGAGUGAUUGCUUUAUGUACUGGAACGUAGCGGCCCAGUUGCUUUUGCGCAGCAAUGGUUUCUGCUUCUCACACUCUUGAGAUUAUUUGGACACACAAGAAGCGAGCAGAGAAUCUGAUCCGUCAGUGACUCAUGUUUAUCAAGCUUUUCAUGGUGGUGAGGAAGCUGCAGUUUCCUCUUCUCUACCUUUGGUGAAACGAAGUGUUUUGGGCGGCCUCUUACCUCAGUCAUUGCUUUACGUACUGGAACGUAGCAGCCCAGUUGCUUUUGCCGCAGCAAUGGUUUCUGAUUCUAACACUCCUGAGAUUAUUUGGACACCACAAGUUUUUGCAAUCAUUGCUAGUAAUGUGGAGAGAAGAGUUAACUCGAACGCCAAUGGAACUUUCUGAAGAAGAAGCUUGCAAGAUACUAGAGAUUUCCAUUGAUGAAGUAUCUAGAGAGGAUGCCCCUAAGAAACCAAGUUUUGAGUCAGUUGAGGAGAUACCUAAUAUAUCAGAGCAGAUUGAGUAUAUUGAUGAGGAAAAGCUCAAGAGACAGUAUAGGAAACUUGCAAUGAAGUAUCAUCCAGACAAAAAUUCUGAAGGGAGGGAGAAGUUUCUGGCAGUGAGAAAGCUUAUAAGUGCUUGCAGGUGACCAUGCAAGGAUUGCAAGGUCCCCAGACUUGGAGGUUGUUGCUUCUCUUUAAGGGCCAGUGUAUUCUAUAUAGGUGAUAUGGGAAUGUAUUGGUGCCAUUCAAUAUCCUAUGCUCUUAAGUGCCAUUACAGUCGAUAAGGAUGAUAACAAUUUUCUUUCCUCUGAUCGAGCACAUCUUCUAGUUGCAUCCUCGGGGCUUGUUUGGUUGACGUGCGAGUCUUCAUCAUUGAAUGGUGAAGAGCUUGUGAGAGAUGGUGGAAUACCUCUUCUUACAACCCUCCUUUCCCGUUGCAUGUGUGUGGUCCAACCAACAACUCCUGCCACUGAACCGUCCGCUACUAUUGUUGCUAACAUAAUGCGAACCUUUCAGUUUUGAGUCAGUAUGAAAUUACAUUUGCUACACUUGGUGAGAAGACCAUGGUGAUGUUCCCGGAAGUGCUUUAGUAUUGGUGUUCCGUGGUGCAGUUAAUCUGCUCCUGUGGUAGAGAUUGUGUUCUUGCUUGAGUGCUUGGACCCACGUUGAAGUAACUUCCUGCUCGUUUAUACAACUCUUUGACAACAUAAGAAUUGGAGGGUGAUGAAUACAGUUGUUGAACAAAACCUUCCAGCCAAAAAGUGGCUAGCUUCCUCAUCAGUAAGGAUAUGCUUCGCCCACGGUCUAAGAUACCGAAUAUCAAUCGGCGAUUGUCAUCUGGUAUCUCCUAAGAGGGAUAGUAUGAGACAAACUCAUCAGCAAUCUCCCCUUGUUCCGUAUGCGUGGUACUAUUCUCAUCAUUUAUCUGCAAGAUUCUCCUCAUCACUCGUCAGCAUUGAUCUCCGUCCUUCAUCCAUUGCAUCUUAGCUCUCUGCUGCAACAUAAUUUGUUCGAGUUUUGCCGCUUUUGCAUAUACAAUCCGACAGCAGUGUUCCAGACUUAAAAAGAGCUCAUUCUGUCUGUCAGAGCUCACCAAUUGUUGUGCCUCAUCUAGAAAUCCCUUGGCUAACGGGACAUUCAACGUCAAAAUCCCCCUUAUUCCUUCUCUGCAGCCGGAAGACCGAUUUAAGGGCUUUCAAUUUACGUGUCACCGCAUACAUAAGCACACCGACAACCUCAUGGUACCAAAUAUCUGCACGUUGGGGAUAAAAUCAGGUGAUAGGGUAAGGUAGUUAUCAAAUCGAAACAUACCUCCGUUAUGUUACUGUGCAUCCCCAUAUAAAACAAGCAGCGAGUGGUCAGACGUCCGUGGUGUGAGGCUAUGAUAGGAUGAGGAAAGGAACCUCGCGAGCCAACGAUCAUUAAUAAGAUUCCGAUCCAACCGCUUCCACAGACUCCGUGUACGUGUGUAAUUUUAGAAUAUUUUUUUUAAAAUAAAAGUGUAAUUCCAAGCGAUUUAACCCUAGAUUAAUCAUUUUUCA